UCUACGGGAGGCAGCAGUGGGGAAUAUUGCACAAUGGGGGGAACCCUGACGCAGCAACGCCGCGUGAGCGAUGAAGGUCUUCGGAUUGUAAAGCUCUGUCUUCGCUGACGAUAAUGACGGUAAGCGAGGAGGAAGCCACGGCUAACUACGUGCCAGCAGCCGCGGUAAUA
rnacentral:rRNA from 1 species